AUUGAACGCUGGCGGCCGGCCUAACACAUGCAAGUCGACCGAGUGGCGGACGGGUGAGUAAUGUCUGGGCAACUGCCUGAUGAAGGGGGAUAACUACUGGAAACGGUAUCUAAUACCGCAUACCAUCAGCUGUGCCCAGAUGGGAUUCGCGUGUUGGUGGGGUAACGGCUCACCAAGGAGACGAUCCCUAGCUGGUCUGAGAGGAUGACCAGCCACACUGGAACUGAGACACGGUCCAGACUCCUACGUGAGGCAGCAGUGGGGAAUAUUUCACGAUGGGCGCAAGCCGGAUGCAGCCAUGCCGCGUGUAUGAAGAAGGCCUUCGGGUUGUAAAGUACUUUCAGCUGGUAGGCGUUACCCGCAGAAGAAGCACCGGCUAACUCCGUGCCAGCAGCCGCGGUAAUUC
rnacentral:rRNA from 1 species